UUACUUAAAAAAACUAGAGGGUCCAAGGACCCUGUGUCGCUCACCUGAUAUUUUUAUUUACAAUUGUUGCAUGAUAAACGCAACUGUUGUACUGUCGUUUAGAUACUAAAAAGUGCAUUUGAAACCUAUGUUUUAUUUCAGCCAUGUGGGCAGGCAGGGUCAUCAUACACAGUGGUCCCUGGAUAUCCUUGUGGUGAUUUAAACCAAGUUUGUUUAAAUUCAACAGUUGUUUCAGGGGAGAAUUUUUGUAAAAUUUAUCUAACAAGAAAUGCAAAGUAAUGAGAAAGUUGUGAAGUAGUUUUGUUGUUGCGCAACCCCCCCCCCCCCCCCCCACUUUGCCAAAAAAAACAAAAAGGUAAUAAAAAAUUAUCAUAUAAGGGCAAUCUAUCCUAUUAAUGAUUUCUGCAAAAUUCAGUUGAUUGUGCAAGGGUUGUAUAGCCAGCUGAGGUCGUUAAAAACUCUCUUUCUUUUGUUGUUGCAGAUAGAUCUUGACCUGAUAAGCAAUUUUACCACAUGUCAGAUUUGCUCUAAAUGUUUUAGUUUUUGAGUGAUAAGCCAAAAACUGCAUUUUACCCCUAUGUUCUAUUUUUAGCCAUGGCGGCCAUCUUGAUUGGUUGGCCGGGUCACCGGAC
rnacentral:lncRNA from 1 species